UCUCUUUUAGUAACACUUCCUGUAGAGCUGAGGUCCGCUCUGAUUGGUCAGCGGGGAAAGUCAGGUGAGUUUGGUUCUGCUGUGGUGAGAGAACAAUGGUGGACUGUGAGGAAGCUGCUCAUCCUGUGUCUGAGGUUAAACCAGCCAGCAGGCAGAAGUUACGUCAAAGUGUUCCAGGAUGCCGUCGAUAAGUAACGGAAGAAAAACCUGGAUUCAAAGGAGGUGAUUCUGGCAGGAAGCGUUUACUGUGGAGGUGCCUCCCUGUGAGCUCCACGGCGCUGCUAGCCACUAACUCUGGGCUGUUUCUAGCUUCACCUGCUGUGUUUGAGUCCACAGCCGUCCAGAGGCGGAGCUCAGGCCACCUGCCAGAUGGACCACAGCGUGCCCAGCGUGAUGCUGUAGGCCACCAUGGCCACCAGGUAGACCCUGAAGAGCAGCACGUCCAGCACGUAGCCCACCUGGAGCCACUCCUUGGCCACCUCCCGACACCGGUCCCUCUUCUCCAGGAAGUGGCGUAUGGCUGUCACCUCCUGCAGGAUGUUGUCCAUGACGGGCGGGCCGGGGUCCCUGGAGGGGGGCCGGUGGAGGCCGAGCAGCCCGGCCUCCCGGUGGUCCUGCUGGCUGAGCCGCCGGCCCAGUUCACAGCUGGAGUCCUUGUAGGGCUCGAGGUCAGAGGCCUGAGACGACAGCCGGGAACACAGCCGGUGCUUCUUGUGGAUGCAGAAGAGGACCGGAGCUCGUUCCAGGACCAGGUACCUGACCCAGUGGGGGACGGGGGGCUGCAGGUCCUGCUUGUGGACCAGACGUACGAUCAGCACCGUUUCUGUCAGGCUGAUCACCAGGAGGGCCAUGCACACCACAAAGUACACACCUGUAGGAGACAGACAGCAGUGGCUUUUCCGGGGUUCUGCUGCUCCUGAGCUGAUCACCUAUCAGAGGAGUUCCUAUGGCGGUGGCAGGCAGGGUGUCCGAUACGAUGAUGAGGAAGACGGAGUAUCCGAGCAGCAGAGUGAUCUUAAAAGAAACCCUCUCUCCGCUGUCUGGAGGCAGGUAGAAGCCCAUCACGUCCAUCACCAUCAGGAAGAUGCUGGGCAGCAGCAGGUUCACCGUGUAGAACAACGGCCGCCGCCGGAUCACCACCUGGGAGACGGAGUUUAAGAUGCAGUAAAUUAACCCCGUGAACCCCAAACCCACCAGUGAGUUUGAGCAGCAUGUUUUCUUUCUUUGUUUUACAGAAUUAAAUCAUUUAUUACAUCCAGGAAUUGUAGAAACAGAAAAAAAAACUCAAUUGUUGCAGAUUUUUGUGCCGUUUUGCCAGGAAAAUUAGCAAAAUCUAAUCCUAAAAUCACUUUAUUUUACAUGCUUCGUUUUUUUAAAAAAAUGCCAAAAAUAUACCGUUUGCACUAAUUAGAUCCUGUAAAAUACAAAUAAUUCUGUAGUCUGUGAUAUAACUAUGAAGGCAAGACUAAUUCAGCUGUAACCAAGAGACACAUGGGGAAAAUUCAGUGAGUUUUCAGGUGAAGUGAAGACAGUUUUACACAGAACGGACUGGAGCUGAAUAUAGAAAUGUAGUAAAACAUAAUUUAUAUAUAUAGUAUAUAGAGUCACCAUUGGGUACAUGUGGAAAAAUGUUGCACAUGUUGAUUCCAGAUUUGAUCUUUUAUUUACAUCUCUUUUUUUUAUGAUUUAUGGCAUUUUACUGCACAAGUUCUCUCUUCUUCUAGUCGUGGUUGCUCUGUUUCCAUAGAGGACUUUAUGCUCCAGUGAAAAAGAGUUUAAAAAAAGAUGUGACAGGAGCAAAAAGCUGUGAGAAGCUGCUGAGAGUUCAGAGGUUUAAAGCCUGGAACACGACUCCAGCUUCAUUGGUGUUGGUUUAGAUUUCCUACAGAUGCGUUUGGUGGCCUAGUUUCUCACUUGUCCACGCUUUAAUAACUAAUGAACUGGAGCUCUGCAGCCUUCAGGCCUCGUUGCUGUCGUUUCUAAAUGGAUGCACAGAACGUCUGUGGUUUAACAAAGCCAGUCUCAUGGUCGGUCUGACUCACAGAGGCUUCUGUUGUCACUUCUGUCGUUUAUUAUAUUCACACAACAAUCCGUCCUGUGGCUGUUCGUUUAUUUAACCCUCCUGUUGUCUUCAUUUACAGGCACCAAAAAGUAUAGUUUCCUUGUCUGAAAAAAAUCCAAAAAUUCAGCAAAAACUUCCCCACAUUUCUGAAAAUUUGCAAAACCUUCAGGAAGAAAAUUCCAAUAAUUCCUUAAAAAUUUCCCUUAAAAGUUUUAUUUAAAAAAAAAAAAAAAAAAAUCCCUCAAAUUUGGCAAGAAAAUAUUUUCAAAAAAUGAGUAAAAAUCUUCCAAAAAAUCUUAAAAAUAUCUAUUUUCUUUAACCCUCGUGUCGUCCUGUGGGUCAAAAUUGACCCGUUUCAAAGUUUGAAAAUGUGGAGGAAAAAAAUAUAUUUUCGCAGUAAAACUUCUGAUGUCCACAUUUUCAACAUUUUUGGGAAAUCUUUGGACAUUUUUUUAUGGAAAAAGAAAUGUUGAUUUUUUUUGUGAAUGUUCUUAAGAAAAUAUUAGAAGUUUUACUGAUAUAUAUGGAAUCACUUUAGAUAUUUUUAGGAUUUUUUGGAAGAUUUUUACUAAUUUUUUGAAAAUAUUUACAAGAAUUUUCUUGCCAAAAUUGGGGGAUUUAAAAAAAAAAAAAAAAACUUUUAAGGGAAACUUUUAAGGAAUUAUUGGAAUUUUCUUCCUGAAGGUUUUGCAAAUUUUCAGAAAUUUGUGGAAUUUUUUUCUGAAUCUUUGGAUUUUUUUUCAGACAAGGAAACAAUAUUCUUUGGUGCCUGUAAAUGAAGACAACAGGAGGGUUAAAGAAACAUUCACAAAUUUUUUUUUUUGAAUGUUCUUCAGAAACAUUUUUAAUAUUUCUUUUUUUCACCAAAAAAUGUUGAAAGAUUUCCCAAAAAUGUUGAAAAUGUGCACAUCAGAAGUUUCACUGUGAAAAUAUAUUUUUUCCACAUUUUCAAGCUUUAAAACGAGUCGAUUUUGACCCACAGGACGACAAAAAAAACCUGUCGUCUUGCGGUGAUAUUCAAAGUGAAGCACAGCCACUGGUUAGCUCAAACGUUGUUUCAUAACAUCAUGUAACCAGAUCUACUGGAAGGAGAAGGUUCAAGAUACCGUCAGGAUUGCAUUAGCAUGGAUUGUUCCAGCGGCAGAUUUUCUGUGAUGCACUUCUGAUCUUCCUAGCAGGACUAUUAGGGAAGCCAACGGGGAAUAGAGACGCAGCAGCCGAGCUCUGAAUGGGGUUUGUGGUGGAGAUUAAAGUGUGAAUACAAUAUCCUAGCAUCAUACUGGCAGGACGAUGUUCUCCAGAGAGCUGCUUUAUUAUCCGGCAUCUCUGAGUCAAUCUGCACUGUGGGGAAACAUAAUAACACACUCCAUAUAAUUAUGUCUUUGUCAGACUGAUCAUGUUUCUAUACAGAAUAGUUAAAGGACAGCUCUGCUUUCAGCCAACUAGGACUUCAUUUUUGUAGAUUUGACAAUCAUUUUAUUGGAUUUUGGAGGGGGAAAAAAAAAUGACUUUUCAUAUUCACCAUUGUUGUGAGUGCUCAGAGUUUCAGUGCAGACAUUUUUUAUUUUCACUUUAAUCAAUUGUACAUCUUGGAUUAACUGUUGGUGACUUCUUCUUCUUUUUGAUGCAAGCUAAAUUAUCGUAACUUACAAAAAUAAGCGACACAACUACAAAAUAACAGUCACAUAUUAAUAAAUCUGAAUUAUCCUUUGCUUAACAACAGUAAUAUACAAAUAAAGUAUAUUAAAAUCUGCUCAUAAAUGCUUAUAAAUGCAAGUAGAAGAGAAAAUACAUCCAGCAACUUGUUGAGAUAUAUUUGAUAUUUUCCUCCCUUCAAAAAAGCAACGAGGCAGGAUUUUAAAUGACACUAAAAACAUAUUUUUAAUCAGGUCUUCUUCUUUUAGCACCACCUACUAUAAUAUAUAUGUGUUGUUUUAUUUUGGCCUGUUUACUGCUUUUAUUUUGUAUUUAAUUAGUUUGUGUUUUAUUUUAUUCUGACAUUUUCAACUGCAUGUGUUGCAAGAAUGGUGCUAUACCAAUAUUUUUUCAUUGUAAAUUAAUUUAUAAUAAAAAUAAUACAAUUAUUAUUAUUAUUAUUAUUAUUAUUAUUAUUAUUAUUAUUAUUAUUAUUAUUAUUAUUAUUAUUAUUAUUAUUAUUAUUAUUAUUAUUAAUAAUAAUAAUAAUAAUAAUAAUACUGUAUAAUAUGUUUUUUGCAGUGGCAUCACUACAAGUACUCUCUAAGAAAUUGUGUUCGAGCUCAACAAAAAAAUUUACGCAAGAAUUUGCAUUAGUCUUUUUGAGUUCAGAUAAAACUUUAUUAGGUUCAACCAAUACUCUACAUGGAGUUAGGAGAAUGAGCUUUUAAUUACUAUUUUUAACAUUUUCUGAACCCAAAUGUAGCUAAACUUAAAAACUGUAUCUAAAUGCAUGCAAUUAAGUGGUGGGAAUGUCCCUUGAAUUAGUUUUUAAAGUGUGUAAAGUAUGGUGUUGCUAGUUUAACUACAAUUUUCAGGAGUGUUGUGGAAACAUAAAUGUUUUCUGAAUCAAAUGACAAUUCCAAAGCUCUUUAAUGGAUCAAGUAGUGAAAUAAUGUUCACACCAGUAUUUGGAGCUUUACAUGGGGUCUGAAUAAAACCAUUAAACCAAAUAUAAGCACUUCUGUAUGCACAUAACUUUAUCUAUCAAUCCUUAGUGCAGCUAGCAGCUUGUCUAAGCUAAUUACUAUUUUUCACUCUUUAAGCAGCAAAUGAAUGAAAUUUACCAUAAAAAAUAGGUUAAAAAAACAUAGCUUCUGGUCUAGUAAACUAGUUUUACGUCAGUUUCUGCAAAUAUACUGAACAACGAAGAUGUGUUUUGAAGGAUUCAGAAAUCUGUGAAAGUGUGUUCAGGCGAAGCUCCAGCUGGUCCAGAGCAGCAGCAGAGUUCCGGCGUAGACGACCAGAACCAGCAGGUAGAGGCGGAACAGCAGGCAGUCCAGCCUGGAGCAGAGGGCCAGCCACUCGGCCUGAGCAGAACACUCGCCGUCUUCCUGGGAUAAAGCCUGGCGGAGGGAAGAAAGCUCUCCGAGGAGCCACUCCAGUCCAGAGGGAGCGUCCUGGAGCUCGUUCAGCGACAGCAGAUCGUCUUCCGGGCAGGAUUGGACCCUCUGGAGGACCGCUUUUGGCCCGCGGGCCUCAUGUUGGACACCCCUGGCUUGGCUUCUUUUUCUCCAAGGUUUCAUCCAUGUAGAACUUUGCUUUGGAGCUCACCUGUGGUCGGGUUGAUGUGGUCCAGGGUCCUGAUGGAGGUUAAAACGCUGUCGCUGAAGUCGUGAGCAGCCGAGCCGUACUUGUCCAGCAGGCAGGCCGACACCGACAUCUGCCUGACCUCCUUCUCACUGUGAUGAAGCAGCUUCACCACCAGGAUGGACUUGAUGAGGCUGAGCAUCAGCAGGGCCAUGCACGCAGCGAAGAACACACCUGACAAGUCAGAAAAGUCUGCUCAGCCACACAGAAGAUAAAUUCUAUCCAAUAAUCAGUGACCUGAAGCUCCCAGCAUCAUGAACGCUGUCAGACUAGGAGUACUGAAGCUAAAAGCUGCUCCUUCAUGGGGUUUGACACGUUUUAACCCUAAAAAGUCGUAUGCUGACGUGUGGAUUGUGGAGUUUUGUGUCUUUGUUAUGUAAUGCUUAACCCUCCUGUUGUCCUCAUUUACGGCCACCAAAAAAUAUAGUUUCCUUGUCUGAAAAAAAUCCAAAAAUUCAGCAAAAACUUCCCCACAUUUCUGAAAAUUUGAAAAACCUUCAGGAAGAAAAUUCCAAUAAUUCCUUAAAAAUUUCCCUAAAAAGUAUUUUUAAAAAUUUUAAAAAUCCCCCAAAUUUGGCAAGAAAAUUCUUGUAAAUAUUUUCAAGGAAUGAGUAAAAAUGUUCCAAAAAAAUUCUAAAAAUAUCUAAAAUGAUUACAUAUAUAUCAUUUAAUAUUUUCUUUAAGAUUAUUCACAAUAAUAUCAACCAAAAUCCGGUGAAAUCGCUGGAUUUUGGUCAAAUUUUUUGUGAAUGUUCUUCAAGAAAUUUUUUUUGAACAUUUCUUUUUUCCACCAAAAAAUGUUCAAAAAUUUCUCAAAAAUGUUGAAAAUGUGGACAUCAGAAGUUUCACUGUGAAAACAUGUUUUUUCCCACAUUUUCAAACUUUAAAACGGGUUGGUUUGACCCGCAGGACGACACGAGGGUUAAAAUGAAAAACACAAUAAAAUGCAAGAACAUGUGUUUUCCCAGAGAAAGACCCACAGCACAGCCUCAGGUGCUGCAAGUUCAUCAAUGAUUUAUGUUUAACACUUAAUGUGGCAUUAAAUGUGGUAAAAACCUCAGAAUUUAAAUAAGAUGUUGCAGAUUUUGUUCAAUUUUCUACACAAAUACCAUAUAAGCAGAAUACUAAUGGACACAAGUGGGUUUAAGACAAAUAAUAUUCAGAUUUCUUUCAACAAACAGCAGAAAUCUUUCAGAAAUGAUACCAAUGAGUGGAGUUCUGACGGCGGUAACAGGAAGUUCGUCCAUCAUGUUGACUCUGAAGACGGUGUAGCCCAGCAGGAUGCUGAUCUUAAAGGCGAUGCGUGUCCCGCUGUUCAGAGGCAGGUAGAAGCUGAUCACAUCCACCAGCAUGAGGAAGAUGCUGGGGAUGAGGAGACCCACCACAUACAGCAGGGGGCGCCGGCGGAUCAACACCUGAACCAGACCACAGGAAGACCCGAGUGAAGCCAGCUGCGGAAGGUGAGGCUGCAGUUCUGCUUGUCGAAGGGGAAGGCGUACAUCUCCAAGCUGCAGGCCAGCACCGCCUGGAUGGGCCGGUAGUUCUUCACCGAGCCAGAGGAGUUGACGUAGACGUAGGGGAUCGGGGGGGAUUUACCUUCUUCCACGCUGCACAUGAAUGACAGGAAUCCAGAUGGCGUCGGACGACAGCGAGAUCUCGUUGAUUCCAUCAAACUCCUCCGGAUCCCAAACAAGAAACUCAUCUGUCCAGACCUGAGAACAGCAGCAGAGGUACAAGGAAGAAGGUCCCUCUCUAUCUCCCCACACAUCCACCAACCACUGGAACACAUCUCCAAAGUUCUGCUGGACCAGCUCAGCUUCCCCUCAGAAGAAGUGCUGCCACCUGCCAGAUGAAGGAGCCUUUUGAGAGGCAGCUGGCAUCGUGAUUGGACUGUACUUUGGUCUGUUCCAAUCCAGCUUCAGCUCCAGAGACGGCAGGCGGGACGAGUCAACGGAGGCUGGAUGGACGAAGGCAUGCAGCUGAGUACAAUCCAGAAAACAACAGAGGAGGAGUGCAGCAGCCCAGAGCCAGAACAACCAGAGUAGCAUCAUAUGUCUCUUAGAAAACAUCAUAGUAUAGCCUUUGGGAUGAAAGAACACCAUCAUAUACAUCGUAGAUUGUACAAAUAACAAGGCAAAGGAAAGAGACAUACAUUGUAGAAUUGUAGUAAUUGUGGGCUGACUGAUUUACUGAUUAGCAGUAUUUUAUUUUUUACUGAUUUACGGUAAUAAAUAAAUUUAAAAAUGGCGCUACUUUGGCUCUGAACCUUUAUCUGAACCUGUGGUCGCUCUGUCUUCUGGAGUGAUUUGAUUAGUUAUACGUCACAAAUAAAACUCCUCCAACUUAACAUCUGUAAACAAAAACAAACGUAUCAACAAAGUUUUCUGUUAGAGUUUGUGUUCUUCUAAGUUUAACUCCAUUAUUUUAAAUGCUUUCAUUUACUGCAAAUGAAUAUCUACUCCAAAUGUUUCACUAAUAAUCAUUAUCAGCCUUAAAAACCCACAGAACACCCCUCUAUACUGGACCAAACUUAGUACAGUCUGGUUCCCCCUUCUAUAAAUCUGCUUGGAAUCUUCCACUUCCUGUUUGUCAAAGUGGCCUUCUACCUGGACAGGUUUUGUUGGAGCUCAUGCAACAAACAUUUUGGGUAACUGCACUUUAAUAUGGAUGGAUGACACUGAAUUAGAGUCUGUUUUAAUGAGACUGAGUUAAGAUGUGUAGCUCUGUCAUUAAAUAGGAAAUUAUUUCUCAGAAUUGACAGAGAAAAGUCUGAAAUGUUUGCUAGGUUAGCGUCCCACAUGUUCUUUGGCUCAGCUAAAGCUAACUCUCUCCAACUUGUGGAUCUCUUGAGUUGCUUGUUGUUAAAAUAUCUUGCUAGAGGUGCUGAAGCUCAGAAAGUCUGAGAUGUUUGUUCAAAAUAAGCUCAUUCUCAAGUCUUAUCUGAACUGUCCUCUUUUGUUUGAACUUUCCCUAAACUUAGGAGUUAAUGACAGAGCAGCACAUCCAGACUCAGUCUCAUUUAUGUAGAGAUUAAACUUCAGUGUCAUUCAUUGAUGUUAAAGUGCAGUUUUUCAAAUGUUUGUUGCACAUGCUCCUGACCAAACCAGUCCAGGUGGAAGACGAUGUGAAGAGAAAGCUCCAGAGGAUGAAUAUCACACAUUUACGUUGGAAAUAAAUGUCCUUUAAUUAGACAUUGUCAUGCAAAAGUUGGAUUUCCCUUUAAUGAUGUUCAAAUCUUUGUUGAGUGUUUUGUUGAUGUUGGUUUCUAAAUAUUUUCUGACACUCGGCCCCAAAGAUUAAAACCUUUUACGGCUCACAAGCUGCAACAAUUCACACAUUAUCAACUAUCUUUCUGACUAAACUAAGAUAAAAAGUGAAAAACUGCCUGAUUCCUGCAUCAUGAAUGUAAAUCUUUUUGAUUUUUAUGACAGUAAACUUAAUAUAUUUGGGUUUGACAUUUUAGAAACCAAAACAAUAAAUGAGUUAGUGGAGAAAACAAUCAACAGAUUAAUGGACAAAGAAAAUGUGUUUUCCAACAUAUAUGGCUGAAUUACUCCAACAUUACAAGAUACAUACAGUUUUAAUUCAGUUUUAUUUAUAUAACGCCAGUUACAGGUCAAAUUGUGUCAAGACGCUUUAUUUUUAUUUUUUUUUGUCAUAUUUAAAAUAUGACAAAGUAAGAAAUUUAAACCUCUUGACUAAUCCAAUUUAUUAUUUGUUUUUUAAGAGACUAAUGGACAAUUAAAAUAACUUUCUCUACUAAUAAACUAAUAAACAUGAGGUCAAAUAGAAGGAAGAGUUUUAAAUACUGCAGUCCCACGAUGACAAGAAUAAAGUUUGUCAACAAAAACUAAAUCUGCUGGUGGAUUCCAUUAAAAUCCUAAAAUGAUAUAAAGUGUGAUACUAAAGGUUUGUGGUGCUAAAAAUGUCAAAGUAAAGAUAUCAAGUUGAACAUGUGGAUGGAGGUUGAUAAAAGUUGACCUUCCUUCAUUUCUCUGGAGCGACUCCAUGUAUUUUAUGGAUGGUGGUCAAAGACCUGCUCUUCUAGUGGUCUUCCUUCUAGUCGCUGUAAAAAGUCAGUCCAUCCUGGCUGACUUCAACACCUCUUUAUGACAAGUUGUUCUGCCUCCGACCUCGUGGAAACUCGAGAAACUCGGGAAACCCGUGG